AUAUGUCCUAAAAGUUAAUUAUUGACUGACAUAUUGUUCAUUCUAUGAUACAAAUUUAUACUUAAACUAUUGAUUUAAUCAAAAAAUAAUAAGUUUUUUUUUUAUUCAAGUGUUAUGUAUCCUUGAAUCAUUCUUGAAAUUGAUGUUACGAUACAUAUUCUCAAGUAUUAAGAAUUAGAGUCAUAUAUGAUCGAUUCCUAAAUUGUUUCUGGUCAUAUAAUAGUCAUGGAGACUGUGAUUCAUUCAGAUAGAUCAACGCACGGUUUGCUUCUUUCGAGAUAGAUGAGUUUCUAGUCUAUAGUGUAGAGACACUGAGCGGC
rnacentral:lncRNA from 1 species